UACGGGGGGGGUAAGCGUUGUUCGGAAUUACUGGGCGUAAAGGGCUCGUAGGCGGCCAACUAAGUCAGACGUGAAAUCCCUCAGCUUAACUGGGGAACUGCGUCUGAUACUGGAUGGCUUGGAUUCGGGAGAGGAAUGCGGAAUUCCAGGUGUAGCGGUGAAAUGCGUAGAUAUCUGGAGGAACACCGGUGGCGAAGGCGACAUUCUGGACCGAUAUUGACGCUGAGGAGCGAAAGCCAGGGGAGCAAACGGG
rnacentral:rRNA from 1 species